AUUGAACGCUGGCGGCAGGCCUAACACAUGCAAGUCGAGCGGAUGAAGGGAGCUUGCUCCUGGAUUCAGCGGCGGACGGGUGAGUAAUGCCUAGGAAUCUGCCUGGUAGUGGGGGAUAACGUCCGGAAACGGGCGCUAAUACCGCAUACGUCCUGAGGGAGAAAGUGGGGGAUCUUCGGACCUCACGCUAUCAGAUGAGCCUAGGUCGGAUUAGCUAGUUGGUGGGGUAAAGGCCUACCAAGGCGACGAUCCGUACUGGUCUGAGAGGAUGAUCAGUCACACUGGGACUGAGACACGGUCCAGACUCCUACGGGAGGCAGCAGUGGGGAAUAUUGGACAAUGGGCGAAAGCCUGAUCCAGCCAUGCCGCGUGUGUGAAGAAGGUCUUCGGAUUGUAAAGCACUUUAAGUUGGGAGGAAGGGCAGUAAGUUAAUACCUUGCUGUUUUGACGUUACCAACAGAAUAAGCACCGGCUAACUUCGUG
rnacentral:rRNA from 1 species